GCGAUAGCGUCACCAUCACCUGACCGUCCAGAGACAGUUAUCGAUCAACACAGACAGGAGUGCAACUGUGCAAUGUAAAAAAGGAAACAACACCAAGGAAACAAAGUACCCUCAAAGUUUGCCAUCUGAGAUGGAUACUCGUCUCAGCAAAAGGGCACAUGGGGUGAUGAAGGCUGAGGAAGCUAAGGAAGUAGAGGAGGAGAUGAACAAGGAACAGACAGAAGAUGAGACAGAGGUCCCUAUUCGAAGAUAUAAGAAAAAGAAGCCAGUCAAAUAUUCCCCGAAAAAACAGAUGUCUCCAACAGGGGCAUUGGAGUUGGCCAAACUGAAAGAACAAAAUAAGAUGGAUCGGCAGAAGAUUGAACACCUUGAGGACCGCAUUAAGUACCUGGAGGAGGCCAACAGGGAUCUAAAAAAUGACAAGGACUUCUUACUUUCCCAAAUUAAGGGAGCCACCAACACACCUGCAUCUACUGGGAAAGGCUCUGGAAAGACUGCUCUGGAACCUGCUUCAUCUUCAACCUCGACAUCCCCCUGUCCUUCCUCAGACUCCAGCUUCUCAUCAUCCUCAGAAGAAGAGGAAAAGAAGAAAAAGAAAAAGAAGACCAAGAAGUCCAAAAAACACCCUGAUUCUCAUAGCCGGUUCAGGCAUUGAUCAUCUUUUUGAUCAAAUGCUUUUCAACUGUAAAGUUGACGAUUACUUAACUGCCCUCAUAUUUGUUAUAAAAGCAAUUACUCAGCAAUUACAGAGAGAUGUACAGCUUUUUAAUUCUCCGCAGGUUAUUAUGUGCUCUAAUCUGGUUUUGUUAGAUAUUUAACCUGUGAAACAAAUAAGAAAAAAUCUACUUACUGUACCAUUAGGUUCACAGUGCAAGGUGGUUAUGUUUUGUACAGCUUCAGAGGCAGGUAAGCGAGGACAUUACUUGUUGGGCAUCCUUCUUCCAUGCUGGUCAUGGCAACUAUUGCUAGCUACAGAGGCAGGUACGAAAGGAGCUAAAUCUAAUAGAACAAGCCUAGAAGGAGGAUGCACAUUAAACCAGCAGUAGGAUAAGUGGGAUUAUUUCUCAUUUGAUAGUAUUACAGUACCUUUAGGGUGCCCAAUCAGCAAUGCCAAUGCAUGUCUGAAUUAAGAUGCCUUUUUUGUUUGUUUUUGUGACCAGUGACCACAACGGAUGGAGUUAUCCGCCGCUACAAGAAUGUCCUGUCCAUAUUCAAUUAGCAUGGAUCCAUGAAAAAGGCCUUCGCCAAAAUUAACGUCGACCGCAACACAGCUGUGAUUGCUGAACUAGCGAUCACAUUUCCAGACACCUUCAAGGACCUGCUUCCAUGAGAUGAAGCUAAUGAGAAGAUGUCUGCAUUUGCAGAGCGUUGCAGGGGAGCUAUAACACAGGAGAUGGCUGAAUUUAUCACAGCAAAGAAAAAAAGUGGAAAACUCCUCCCAAUAGUGUAUAAAUACACUUAAGAGUGUUCAUUUAUGUUGAUGUUAAAUGACACUGUUUAUGUAACAACAGUUCCUUUUGUUCAAAUGUUUGUGUUCAAAUACAGCAAGG
ensembl:lncRNA uncharacterized protein DDB_G0280579-like